rnacentral:rRNA from 1 species
GAUGAACGCUGGCGGCGUGCCUAAUACAUGCAAGUCGAGCGAACGGACGAGAAGCUUGCUUCUCUGAUGUUAGCGGCGGACGGGUGAGUAGCACGUGGAUAACCUACCUAUAAGACUGGGAUAACUUCGGGAAACCGGAGCUAAUACCGGAUAAUAUUUUGAACCGCAUGGUUCAAAAGUGAAAGACGGUCUUGCUGUCACUUAUAGAUGGAUCCGCGCUGCAUUAGCUAGUUGGUAAGGUAACGGCUUACCAAGGCAACGAUGCAUAGCCGACCUGAGAGGGUGGUCGGCCACACUGGAACUGAGACACGGUCCAGACUCCUACGGGAGGCAGCAGUAGGGAAUCUUCCGCAAUGGGCGAAAGCCUGACGGAGCAACGCCGCGUGAGUGAUGAAGGUCUUCGGAUCGUAAAACUCUGUUAUUAGGGAAGAACAUAUGUGUAAGUAACUGUGCACAUCUUGACGGUACCUAAUCAGAAAGCCACGGCUAACUACGUG